CCCUUAGAUGUUCUGGGCCGCACGCGUGCUACACUGAGUGGAUCAGCGGGUCAGGUUGCGCGAAAGCGUUUCCUAAUCUUUAAAUCCGCUCGUGAUGGGGAUUGACGGUUGCAAUUUUCUGUCAUGAACGAGGAAUACCUUGUAAGCGCGGGUCAUCAUCCCGCGCUGAAUACGUCCCUGCCCUUUGUACACACCGCCCGUCGCACCUACCGAUUGAAUGUUUCGGUGAAGAUUCCGGACCGAGCGAUGAUCGCUUUACGGCGGUCGCCAUUUGGGAAGUUAUCUAAACCUCAACAUUUAGAGGAAGGUGAAGUCGUAACA
rnacentral:rRNA from 1 species